rnacentral:lncRNA from 1 species
AUCUUAAAUUAAUAACCAAAAAUAGAGAAAUCAGUGCAACUAAAUAAUGAAAUACAAGUCUCAUAUAACAAGAGAAGUCACAUGAAAGUUUAUGUGAAAAGGGUAUAAGAGCACAAUUGGAUUUUUUUGACUCUACUCUGUUAAUAGGAUUAAAAUUUACUUACAUGAGGAUAAAUAGAGAUUGACAAAGAUAUCGAUUGGCCAGUAAUCAGAUGUACGUUUAAAUGAUUUCACCAAGCUGACAGGAAAAAUAAUAAGUCACCCGCAGCUAAAUUAUCACAAGUCCACUGCUAGAUGAAAAUACAUCAAAUAUAAAAGUCCUGCUUCAAUAAAGUUUUUACCCUUUCGAUUCCACUUUGGAAUUUGACUCAAAAUAGUAAAGGGAUAAAUAUAGGCAUGUGAAUUAAACGGCUUAAUAUAUUAAACAGACAAAAUAUGGCUGCACACACCACACAAAGCAUUAGAUUAAAAAAAAAAAAAAUUCAAUAAUUAGUGCAAGAAUCAAACAGUCAGAGAGCAUAAGCUCACCAAUAAGACUAAAGAAAAAGGCAGCAUGAAGAUGAAAACCAAACAGCAAGAGAUCCAAGAUUUCUUACCAGAGGAGUUCAUGGUCUCAAAAGUUG